rfam:Bacteroidales bacterium KA00251 genomic scaffold Scaffold455, whole genome shotgun sequence.
GGGUAGUUGCCGGAGUGGACAAACGGAUCUGACUGUAACUCAGACGGCGUAAGCCUUCGGUGGUUCGAAUCCAUCACUGCCCA